CUAGAACCAAGACUAACAAUCCAGAUUUGGGUGAGGAUGAUGAAUUUGAUCCAGAAGAGAUGGUUGUGUUUGUGAAAAAAUUGCAAAAGUUUUACAAAAAAACAAAAGCCAAAAACCAUUAUUGUUCAAAAUAGAAAGGGAAUGAUAAGAGUAAAUCUGGGUCCAAAAAGGGUGGUGAGAAGAAGAAUAGGAAAAAUCAUGCUCGAGAUAUUGGAGUAAUUUGAUACUCAUGCUAAGUUUGAUAUUGGUUGUUGGCCUUAUUGUAAAUAACAGUAAUUUUCACCCUUAUUGUGUCCUAAUGUAUUUUCGGGCUUCUUAGCAAGCGUCACUUCAGAAGGAUUAGAGAAGUUUCUAAAAAGUGUGGUCAAGUGAUCCAUGGUUUGUUUACGAGAAUUUAGUUACACAUCAUAAAUUCCAAUGAAUUACUCCAUACUCACAUGAGUGUGGUGGCGCCCCCAUACCUCAGCGAGUCUGGAGUAAUUUCAUUCGUAACUGUGAAGUGUACCUCACAUGAUUCUUGUUUUAUCCUGCAAAACUACUUUAGACAGUAUUGUGUGAACCUACUAUAGUAUAGUGGAAAAAUAUUGACCAUUGAUGUUAUGCCACUUUGCAGUAGAGUAGUGACAGAUUCGUGUACUCUGGAUAUUCCCAGGGCUUUGGUUUGUAAGCAUGCCACUGUGGAGAGGCUGAGAAGGUAUAAGGGCAUGGAUGGCAAGGUGAGGUGAUAUUAGGCUAAAUACUUCUUAUGUUUAGAUUCACCUCAAGCAUUCAUCCACAUGAGGACAGAAUGACAUCCAGGAAUAUUAGCGUCGGGGUUUAUUGCUUAAGUUUUCCGGUUAAGAACAAAGCGUUAUCCCCUUCCCAACCCGUAUUUUGAAGUUAUUUCCUCCAAAAAAUUACUAAUUCCAUUGACAAGUUCUGUAAGAAAUUUUGGGAUCUGAAAUUCUAAAACAUGCCCAUUAAAGUCACAUUGUCUUCAACUAUGAAAUCUCGUCUUCCAGAUAUAUAGUACUGUUUGCCAUCCUUAGAACAAAGUGAGGGAUUAGGAGAAAUUAUGUGCUAAAGUGUCGUGAUUCUUAAUUAUUAGAAAUAAGUGCACUGUGUUGUGGUUUUUACCACAACACCAAGUGCACAAUGGCUGAUUUUUUUCAUUGGCCAGAUUUGGUUCUAGAUUAUUACUCAACAAACCUGUUUCGGGUGAUAUUUCUAGGAGAGAGAUUAUUGCAGAAAUGGUUCCAUGAAGAUAGCCAUAUAUGUUUGAUGGGGGGUUCUUAGUUGCUUUAAUCAAUUAAUUAGUCUAUCUUCUUCUUCUUCUUGGGUUGAUUUUUUUUCCUAUUGAUAUGUUGUUGCUUGCUGGUUUUUAAUUAAUACGUUUGGUGAAUACACGCAUAUGGUUGCUCUUUAUUUUUCUGAUCGAUCCCUCUGCGCAAUUAUGUCUACUAUUUCAGAUCCUGGGCUCAGUAUGUCCAAAAGUGUCUGAUGAGAUGGCCAGAUUUGGUUGAACUAUAUUUUUCGAGUCAAACUAUAUCAGUUAACUGGGUUUUACUUCAAUACCUAUUGGCUUCAUUUUUCUAUUAUCUUUUUUUCCUUUUCCUGAUGUAAACAAACCUACAGUUUAAAAGGUCUUAAAUAAAAUUGAUUAAAAACCAACAAAUCCGGGAAAAAACGACUCAAAUUACACACUUUUUCGUCUCCCUUUGAAAUAAAAAGCCUGUGAAUUUUAUUUUUUCCCUUCAAACUUGCUUAUUUGGUCAUUUUUUUCGAUUUAAACAACUGCCCCUAAGAGGUCUCCAAAACCGGAACUUGAUGUAAAUAAAAAAAAUAAUUCAAAGGAAAAAAGAAAUACACUACAGAUCUAUGAGAAAAUUAACAGCAACUUGAAAGGUAAAAUGAGUAUCGUGAAAGGCUAUUGCUAUGACUAUCGGAAUAAUUGGGUGUUAUUAUGCUAAUAGUGAUUCUCGGGCCCACGUACUCUCAAAUCCAUAUCUCCAAAACCAUUGAAAUAUUGGGUACGUACAGUGGCUUUCGAUUUUGUAUCUUUAUCUUGGGCCUUCAUUAAACUUGUGAACUUGAAGUUACCGGGUUCCAAUUUCAAACUCAAGUUAAUUAGGUAUUAGUAGACCAAGGCCUUAUGUGGUACUUUGUCUUUUCCCAAAAUUAUGUUGAUUGUGUUUUUGUGUAAUAGGUAGUGACUGUUUUGCAUUAUUUUAUGUGCGAGGACUAAUGCUAUUGACUAUCGAUUCAAUUCAAGUCGAGUUAUUAGGUACUUUUCGAUGUUUUUAUUAUUAGUUAAUACUUUUGUUGUACUUUAUUUUAUUUCCAAAUAUGCUGAUUUGAAUUUUGUAGUAAGAGUGUUUUUAUUAUAAUUUUUUUGCAUUUGUUUUAUUUUGCAAGGACUAAUAGUAUUGACUAUUGGGUUUAACUUCAUGCUCAAGUUAUUUGGGUAUUAUUAGUCAAUGGCUUAUAUUGUACGUUGUCUAUAUCAAAUUAUGCUGAUUUGAAUUUUGAAGUAAUGAGUAAUGCGAGGUCUGCAUUUUUUUUGUUUUGCGAGGAUUAAUGCUAUUGACUAUCGCGUUCAACUUCAACCUCAAGUUAUUUCGGUAUUAUUAGUCAUUGUCAUAUGUUGUACUUUGUUUUUUUUUAAAUUAUGCUGAUUUGAGUUUUUUUGUAAUAAGUAUGUGACUUUUUUGCUUUUGUUUUGUUUUGCGAGGACUAUUGCUUUUGACUAUCGGACUCAAUUGGAUGUACCAUGCUAAAAGUGAGCUUGGCCCCCCGUACUCUCAAAAUCCAAUCUCCAACCAAUUGCAUAUUGUGGUACCGUCAUAGUGACUUUAAAUUUUUUAUAUUUAUCUUGGGCCGUAAUUAACCUGAACUUGAAGUUCCUCGGGUUCAAUUUCAAUUUCAAGUUAAUUAGGUAUUAUUAGAUAAGGCCUUAUGUUGUACUUUGUCUUUUUAAAAUUAUGUUGAUUUGAGUUUUUGUGUAAUAUGUAGUGACUGUUUUGCAUUUGUUCUGUUUUACGAGGACUAUUGCUAUUGAUUAUCGAACUCAACUUCAAUCUCGAGUUAUUUAGGUACUUUUUGUUAGUACUUUAUUUAUUUCAAAUUAUUUUUUUUGUUUUGCGAGGACUAAUACUGUUGACUAUCGGGUUUAAUUUUAAGCUCAAUAUAUUAGGGUAUUAGUAGUUAUGGCCGUAUGUUGUACUUUGUCUUUUUCAAAAUAUGCUAUUUGAAUUUUUGAGUAAUGAGUUGUGACUAGUUGACAUUGAUGUUGUUAGUGAGGACUAGCUAUGGACUAUCGCGACUGAAAUGGGUGUACCGUGCUAAUAGCGUGCCUAGGCCAAGUACUCUCAAAUCAUAUCUCACGCCAUUUGAUGUGAAUUGUUGUGGUACGUAACUGGGUUAAAUUUUGUUAUAUUUAUUUGGGCCUUAAUUAACCUGAACUUGAAGUUCCCGGGUUCAAUUCAAGUCAAGUUUAAUUAGGAAUUUUAUUAGACAAGGCCUUAUGUGUACUUGUCUUUUUAAAAUUUGGAUUGACGUUGUGUGUAAUAUGUAAGACUGUUUUGCAUUUGUUCUGUUUUUGCGGGACUAUUGCUAUUGACUUACGGAUUCAACUUCAGCUCGAGUUAUUUAGGUACUUUUUGUUAGUACUUAUGUUGUUGUGCUUUUUUUAUAGCAUGAUUUUAAUGUUUGAGUAACGAGUAGUGACUGCUUUUUGCAUUCAUUUUAGGCGACCGUGUGCUAAUAGCGAUGCCUAGGUCCAAGUUUACUCUCAAACCUAUCUCCACGCCUUAAUGUUGUGGUAGUAAUGUGGCUUAAAAUUUGUAUAUUUAUCUUGGGCCUUAAUUACCUGAACAUGGAAGUACACGGGUUCAUUGAAAGCUCAAGUGUAAUUGAGUAUAUUAGGACAGGCCUUAUGUUGUACUUGUCUUUUUAAAAUUAUGCUGAUUGAGUUUUUGUGUACUAUGUAGUGACUGUGUUGCAUUUGUUCUGUUUUGCUGAGGCUAUUGCUAUUGACUACCGGAGUCAACUUCAAGAUCGAGGUAUUAGGUACUUUUUGUUAGUACUUUAUGUGUUUUUUAUUAUAGCCUGCUUUUCUGUUGAGUAACGGUAGUGACUGCUUUGCUAUUUUUUUUGUUGUGCGAGGACUAAUACUGUGAUUAGGGGUUUAAUUUCAAGCUCAAGUUAUUGGGUAUUAGUAGUUAUUUUUAAAGGGCGUUAUUAUGCUUGUACUUUUCUUUUCAAAUUAUGCUAAUUUGAAUUUUUGAGUAGUGGAGUUUGUGAUUAUUUUGGAAUUUCUUUUGUUAGUGAGGACUAUUGCUAUUGACUAUCGGACCUCAAGUGGGUUGUUGUACCGUGGCUAAUAAGAGAUGCUAGGCCAGUACGCUCAAAUCCCCAAUCUCCACGCCUGGAUGUUGUGGUGCGUAACUGUGGCUUUAAAUUUUGUAUAAUUAUCUUGGGCCUUAAUUAACCUGAUUGAAGUUUUUUUUUUUUCCCCCCCGGGUCAAUUAAGCUCAAGUUAAAGUUAAUAGGAAUUAUGAGGACAAGGCCUUAUGUUGUACUUUGUCUUUUUAAAAUUAUGUGAUUUGAGUUUUGUGUUAAUAUGUAAUGAUGUUUUGAUUUUGUUCUGUUGCGGAGACUAUUGACUAUUGACUACCCGGAUCAUUCAAGCCGGAGUUCUUUAGGUACUUUUGUUAGACUUAUGUUGUUUUUUAUUUCUAGCAUGAUUUUACUGUUGCGUACGAGAGUAGGACGGCUUUGCAUUUCAUUUAGGUACCGUGCUAUAGCGAUGCCUUGGCCACAAGUACUAUAAAUCCAUAUCUCCACGCCUUGACUGUUGUGGUUAGUAACUGUGGCUUUAAAAUUUUGAUAAUGAUCUUGGGCCUAAUUCACCUGAACAUGAAGUUCCCGGUGUUCAUUAAAGCUCAAGUUAAUUAGGGACUAGUAGACAGGCCUUAUGUUGUACUUGGUAUUUUAAAACUUAUGCUGAUUUGAGUUUUUGUGUAAAUGUAGUGACUGUUUGCAAUUUGUUCUGUUUGCGGAGGACAUUGCAGGACACCGGAUUAACUUCAAGCUCGAGUUAUUUAGGUACGUUUUGUAGACGUUAGUUGUUUUUGAUUUAUAGCAUGAUUUUAAUGUUUGAGUAACGAAGUAGUGACUGCCUUGGCAUUUUGUUUUGUUUUGCGAGGACUAAUACGUUGAUUAUCGGGUUAAUUCAGCUCAAGUUAUUAGGGUAUUAGAGUUAUGGCUGUAGUUGUACUUGUAUUUUCAAUUAUGCUAAUUGAAUUGUGAGUAAUGAGUUGUGAAUUCUUUUUGCAUUUUAUGUGUUGAGUGAGGCCUAUUGAUAUUGACAUCGGACUCAAGGGGGUUGUACGUGCUAUAGCGAUGACUAGCCCAUACGCUCAAAUCCAUAGCUCCACGCCUUUGAAUGUUGUGGUUACGUAACUGUGGCUUUAAAUGAUAUUAUCUUGGGCCUUAAUUAACCUGAACUUGAAGUUCUCCGGGUUCAAUUUCAAGCUAACGUAAUUAGGAAUUAUUUAGACAGGCCUUUGUUGUACUUGUCUUUUUAAAAAUAUGUGAUUUGAGUUUUUGUGUACAUGGAUGACUGUGUGUAUUUGGAUUUGUUUUGCAGGACAUGCCUAUUGACUACCGGAUCAACUUCAAGCCGAGUUUCUUUAGUACUUUUGUAGUACUUUAUGUUGUUUUUUAUUUGAUUAGCCUGAUUUAAUGUUUGAGUCACGGAAGAGUACUUGUUUGCAUUUAUUUUUUUUUUGUUUUGGGAGGAUAAAUACUGUUGACUUAUCGGUUAAUUUCAAGCUCAAGUAUAAGGUAUUAGUAGAAUGGGCGUAUGGUGUACUUUGUCUUUUUCAAACUUAUGCUAAUUGUUUUUUGCGUCAUGAGUUGUGACUAUUUUGCUUUAUUUUGUUUAGUGGGACUAUUGCUAUUGAUUCGGACUCAAGUGGGCUGUGUUUGUUACGUAUGCUUAAUUAGCGAUGCCUAGGCCAAGUACGCUCAAAUCCAAUCUCCACGCCUUUGAAUGUUGUGGUACCGAACUGGGGCUUUUAAAUUUUGUAUAUUAUCUUGGGCCGUAAUUAACCUGAACGUGAAGUUCUCCGGGUUCAAUUUCAAGCUCAAGUUUCCUUAGGAAUUAUUGACAAGGCCUUAUGUUUUGUACUUGGUCUUUUUAAAAAUAUGCUGAUUUGAGUUUUUGUGUACUAAUGUAGUGCUGUUUUGAUGUUCUGUUUUGACCGGAGGACUUAGGGCUAUUGACUACGGAUUCAACUUCAACUCGAGUUAUUUAGGACUUUUUGUUAGUACUUUAUGUUGUUUUUAUUAUAGCAUGAUUUGAAUGUUUGAGUAACGAGUAGUGACUGCUUUGCAUUUUUUGUUGGGCGGGACUAAUACUGUUGAGUAUCGGGUGGAAUUUUAAGCUCAAGUAUAGGUAUAGUAGUAUGGCAUAGUUGUACUGUCCUUUUUUCAAAUUAUGCUAAUUGGAAUUUUGAGUAAGGAGUUGUGAUUAUUUUGCAGUUUUUGUUUAGGAGGGACUAUUGCAUUGACUAUCGGACGCAAUGGGUGUAACCGUGUGCUAAUGCGAUGCCUAGCCAAGUACUCUCAAAUCCAUAUCUCAACGACUUGAAGUUGUGUACGUAACUUGUGAUUAAAAUUUUGAUAUAUUUAUCUGGGCCUUAAUUAACCGGAACUUGAGGUUCUACGGGUUCAAUUUAAAGCUCAAGUUAAUUAGGAAGUAUUAGACAGGCUCUUAUGUUGUACUGUCCUUUUACAAAUUAUGCUGAUUGAAUUUUGGGGUAAUAUGAGUGACUGUUUUGCAUUUGUUUGUUUUGCGGGACUGCUAUUGUCUACCGGAUUUCCAACUUCAAGCUUCGAGUGAUUUAGGUACUUUGUGUUAGUAAUUUAUGUGGGUUUUAUUUUAUAGGCAUGAUUUUAAUGUUUGGUACGGAGUAGUGACUGCUUACAUUUCAGCUUAUGUACGUGCUAAUAGCGAUGCCUCGCCCAAGUCUCUCAAAUCCAUAUCGCACGCUUUGAAUGUUGUGGUAAGUAACUGGGGCUUUAAAUUGGUAUAUUUAUCUUGGCCUUAAUUACCUGAACAUGAAAGUUCCCAGGGUUUCAAUUUCACGCUCACGUUUUAUAGGUAUUAUUAGAUAAGGCCGUAGGUGUACUUGUCUUUUAAAAAAAAAAAAAAAUUUAUACUGGAUUGAGUUUGGUGUAAUUGGAAUAUGUAGUGAACUGUUGGCAUUUGUUCUGUUUUGCGAGGACUAUUGCUAUUGACACUGGAUUCUAACUUCAAGCUCGAGAUAUUAGGUCUUUUUGUAGUACUUAUGUGUUUUUUAUUUAUAGCAUGAGUUAAUGUGGAUAAGAGUAGGGACUGCGUUGCAUUUGUUGGUUUUGCGAGAACUAAUACUUUGUGACUAUCGGGUUUAAUUCAAGCUCAAGUUUUUUAGGGUAUUGUAGUUAUGGCGUUGGUGUCCUUGCAUUUUUCACGUUAUGCUAAUUUGAAUUUUUGAGUAAUGAGUUGGUGAGUAUUUUGCAUUGAAUUGUGUAGUGAGGACUAUUGAUAUUGACUAUCGGACUCAAGUGGGGUUGUACGUUGUAAUAGCCCGAUGCUAGGCCAAGUACGCUCAAAUCCAUAUCUCCACGACUUGACAUGGGUGGUACGUAAUUGUGGUUUAAAUUUUGUAUAUUAUUUGGCCUUAAUUAACUGAACUUGAAGUUCUCCGGAUUCAAUUUCAAGCUCAAGUUAAUAGGAAUUAUUUAGACAAGGCCUUAUGUGUACUUUUGAUUUUUUAAAAUUAUGCUGAUUUGAGUUUGUUGUGUAAUAUGUAGUGACUGUUUUGCAUUUGUUCUGUUGGCGAGGGACGAUGUAGACUACGGAUUCACUUCAAGCUCGAGUUAUAUAGGUACUUUUUGUUAGUACUUGUAUGGUUGUUUUUUAUUUAUAGCAUGAUUUUAAUGUGAGAGUACCGCGUCGUGAUGACUUGCAUUUGUUUGUUUUGCGAGAUUGAGAAUUAAUACUUUUGCCUAUCGGGUUUAAUUUCAAGCUCAAGUUUGUCGGGUAUAUAGUAGUUAUUAUGGCCGUAUGUGUACUUGUCUUUUCAAAUUAUGCAAAUAUUGAAUUUUUGAAGUAAUGAGUUUGUGAUUAUUUUGCAUCCUUUGUUUUAGUGAGGAAUAUUGCUAUUGAACUAGGACUCAAGUUGGGAUUUUUGUACCGUGCUGAUAAUAGAGAUGCUAGGCCCAAGUACGCUCAAAUCCAUAUCCACGCAUUUGAUGUUUGUGGUACGUAACUGUGGCUUUAAAUUUUGUAUAUUUAUCUGGGCCUUAAUUAAACCUGAACAUUGAAGUUUCCGGGUCAUUUUCAAGCUCAAGUUAAUAGGAAUAUUAGACAGGCCUUAUGUUGUAACUUUGUCUUUUUACCAUUCUGCUGCUUUUGAGUUUUGUGUCAUAGUAGGUGACUGUUUUGCAUUUGUUCUUUUUGCGGGACUAUUGCGAGUGACUACGAUGAACUUCAAGCUCGAGUUAUAUAGGUACUUUUUGUUAGUACUUUCUGUUGUUUUUAUUUUAUAGAUGAUUUACUGUUUGAGUACGAGUAGUGACUGCUUUGCAUGUUUUUUGUUUUGCGAGCGUACUAAUAUGUUGAUUAUCGGGUUUAUUUCCGCUUCAAGUUAUUAGGGUAAUAGUCGUUAUGGCCGAUGUUGUACUUUGUCAUUUUCAAAUUAUGCUAAUUGAAUUUUUGAAGUCAUGGUUGUGACUAUUUUGUAUUUAUUUUGUUUGUGAAAGCCUUGUUAUUGGUAUCGGACUCAAGUGGGAUGUACCGUGCUAAUAGCGAUGCCUAGGCACCAAGUUUACUCUCAAAAAUCCGUAUCUUCACGCUUUGAAUGUUGUGGUACGUUAAUGUGGCGUUUAAAAUUUUGUAUAUUAUCUUGGGCCUUAAUUAACUGAAUGAAGUUCCACGGGGGUUAAUUUCAAGCUCAAGUAUUAAGGUAUUAUUAGACACGCCUAUGUUUGUGCUUUGUCUUUUACAAUUAUGCGGUGGAUUUGAGUUUUGUGUAUAUGUAGUGACUGUUUUGCAUGUGUUCUGUUUUGCGAGGACUAUUGCUAGUGCCACGGAUUCAACUUCAAGGUCGAUGUUAUUUAGGUACUUUUUGUUAGUACUUUAGGUUGUUUUUAAUUAUAGCAUGUUUUAAAUUUUGAGACAAGAGUGAAUGGCUUUGUAUUUUUUUGUUUUGCGAGAGGACGAAUACUGUUGGAAUAUCGGGUUUAAUUUCACGCUCAAGUUAUUAGGGUAUAGUAGUAUGGCCGUCGUGGUACUUUGCUUUUUCAAUUAUGCUAUUGAUUUUUUGAGUAAAGUAAUGAGUUGUGGACUAUUUUGCAUUUAUUUUGUUUUAGUGAGGACUAUUGCUAUGAUAUCGGGACUCAAGGGGGGUGUACAGUGCUACUAGCGAUGCCUAGGCCCAUAGUCGCUCAAAUUCCAUAUCUCCACGCCUUGAAUGUUGUGGUACGUAACUGUGGCUUUAAUUUUGUAUAUUUAUCUUGGGCCUAAUUAACCUGACGUGAAGUUGUCCCCGGGGUUCAAUUUCAAGCUAAGUUAAUUAGGAUUAUUAGACAGGCCUUAUGUGGUACUUUGUAUUUUUAAAUUAUGCUGAUUGAGUUUUGGUGUAAUAUGAGUGACGGUUUUGCAUUUGUAUGUUUUGCGAGGACUAUGAUAUUGACUACAGGAUUCAAUUAAGCUCGAGUUUUUUAUUAGGUACUUUUGUUAGACUUUAUGUUGUUUUUAUUUAUAGCAGGAUUUAAGGUUUUUGAGAACGAGUAGUGAUGCUUUGCAUUUUUUUUGUUUUUGACGAGAGACUAAGUACUGUUGACUAUCGGGUUUAAUUUUCAAGAUCAAGUUAUAGGGUAUUAGUAGUUAUGGCCGUAUGUUGUACUUUGUCUUUUCAAAUGAUGCUAAUUGAAAUUUUGAGUAAUGAGUUUGCUAUUUUGGCUUUAUUAUGUUUUUGUGAAGACUAUUGUUAUGAACUAUCGGACUCAGGGGUUGUACAGGCCUAAUCGCGAUUGCCUAGGCCCAAGUACUCUCAAAUCCGGUCUCCAGCCUUUGAAUGUGGUGGUACAGUAACUGUGGCUUUAAAUUUUGUAUAUUUAUCUUGGGCAUUAAUUAUGAAGUUCCCGGGGGGGUUAAUUUCACAGCUUAAGUUUAAUUACGAUUAUUAGCCAAGGCCUUGUCUGUACUUGUUCUUUUUUAAAUUAUGCUGAUUUGAGUUUUUGUGUAAUAUGUCGUGAUUGUUUUGCAUGUGUUCUGUUUUGCGAGGACUAUUGAUAUUGACUCCCGGAUUUCAAACUUCAAGCUCGAGUAUUUAGGUUCUUUGUUAGUAUUUAUGUUGUUUUUCUUUAAGCCUGCUUUCCUGUUGAGCGAACAAGUAGUGACUGCUUUGCAUUUUUUUUGUUUUGCGGAGGACGAGGGGACACUAAUAUGUUGACUAUCGCAGUUAAUUUUCAAGCUCAAGUUAUUAGGGGUAUAAGUAGUUAGGCCCGUAUGUUGUCUUGUCCUUUUUUUUCAAAGUAUGUAAUUUGAAUUUGAGUAAUGAGUUGACUAUUUGGCAUUUAUUUUGUUUUGUGAGGACUAUUGCUAUUGACUUCGACUCAAGUGGGUGUCCGUGUAAUAGCGAUUGCUAGGCCAAGUAGUACUUUACAAUCCAUAUCUCCACGCCUUUGAAUGUUGUUGUACGUAACUGUGGCUUUAAAUUUGUUAAUUUAUCGUGGGACUUAAUUAACAGGAACUUGAAGUUCCCCGGGGGUUCCAUUAAGCUCAAGUUAAUGAGGUAUUAUUAGACCAGGCCCUUAUGUUAAACGUUUGUCUUUUUAAAAUUAUGCUGAUUUGUGUUUUGACUAUUGGAUUAUGUUUUUUGUGUGAGGACUAUUGCUAUUGACUAUCGGACUCAAGUGGGUGUACCGUGCUAAUAGCGAUUCAAAUCCAUAUCUCCACGCCUUUGAAUGUUGUGGUACGUAACUGUGGCUUUAAAUUUUGUAUAUUUAUCUUGGGCCUUAAUUAACCUGAACUUGAAGUUCCCCCGGUUCAAUUGCAGCUCAACGGUAUUAGGAAUUAUUAGACAAGGCCUUAUGUUGAACUUUGUCGUUUUAAAAUUAUGAUGAUUUGAGUUUUGUUGUAUAUGUAGUGACUGUUUGAUUUGUUCGGUUUUGGAGGACUAUGCUAUUGACUCCGGAUUCAACUUCAAGCGCGAGUUAUUUAGGUACUUUUUGUUACUACUUAGUUUGUUUUUAUUUAUAGCUGAUUUUACAUGUAUUGAGUCACGAGUAGUGACUGCUUUGCAUUUUUUUUUUGUUUUGGGAGGAUUAAUACUGUUGACCCAAUCGUUUUAAUUCAAAGCUCAAGUUAUUAGGUAAUUAGUAGUUAUGGCCGUAUGUUGUACUUUGUCUUUACAAAUUAUGCUAAUUUGAAUUUUUGAGUAAUGAGUUGUGACGAUUUUGCAUUUAUUUUGUUGUGGACGACAUUGCUAUUGACUACGGACUCAAGGGGGUGUUUGUUAAGUGCUAAUAGCGAUGCCUAGGCCCAAGUACUCUAAACCACAUCUCCCACGGCUGGGAAUGUUUUUUGGACGUAUCUGUGGCUUUAACUUUGUAUAUUUAUCUUGGAGACUUAAUUAACCUGAACUGAAGGUUCCCGGGUUAAAUGUCAAGCUCAAGUUAAUUAGGUAUUAGUAGACAAGGCUUAUGUUAAACUUGUCUUUUUUAACAUUAUGAUGAUUGUGUUUUGACCUUAUUUUGCAUUUAUUUUUUUUUGAGGACUAUUUAUACUGAAUAUCGGAAUCAAAGUGGGGUGUACCGUGCUAAAUAGCGAGCUAGGCCAAAGUCUCUCAAAUCCAUCUCCAGCCUUGAAUGUUGUGGACGUAAUGUGGAUUUAAAUGUUGGAUAGUAUAUUGCAUUAAUAACCUGAACUUUUGAAGUUCCCCCGGUUCAAUUGUUCCAAGCUAAGUUAAUAGGAAUGAUUAGACAAGGCCUUAUGUUUGUACUUUGUCUUUUUAAAAUUAUGUGAUUUGAGUUUGUGUGUAUAUUAGUGCUGUUUUGCAUUUGUUCUUGUUUUGAGCGGAGGAUGCUAUUGACGACGGAUCAACCUCAGUUCGAGUAUUUAGCGUUACUUUGUGUUAGUACUUUAUAUGUUUUUAGUUUUAGCAUGAUUUUCAUGUUUGAGAACGGGUGGUGACUGGCUUUGAAUUUUUUUUGUUUUGCGUGGAGAACUAAAUGUUGACUAUCGAGUUUAUUUCAAGCUCAAGUAUUACGGUAUAGUAGCUAGUCGAUGUUUGUCCGUUGUCUUUUUCAAAUUAUGCUAAUUUUAAUUUUUGAGUAAUGGAGUUGUGACUAUUUGCAGUAGUUUGAUUGUGAGGGAUAGUGGCUAUUGACUAUCGGACUCAAGUGGGUGUACCGUGCUAAUAGCGAUGCCUAGGCCCCAGUACUCUCAAAUCCCUAUCUCCACCCUUUGAAUGUUGUGGUAUGUAACUGUGGCUUUAAAAUUUGUAAUUUAUCUUGGGCCUUAUUAACCUGAACUUGAAGUUCCCCCCCCCGGUUCAAUUUUCAAGCUCAGUUAAUUAGAAUUAUUAGACAAGGCCUUAUGUUGUACUUUGUCUUUUAAAAUUAUGCUGAUUUGAGUUUUGUGUAAUAUGUAGUACUUUUGCAUUUGUUCUGUUUCGAGGACUAUGGCUAUUGACUACCGAUUCAACUUCCAAGGUCGAGUUUUUAGGUACUUUUUGUUGUACGUUAUGUUUUUUUGUUUUAUGCAUAUUUUAAUGUUUGAGUAACGAGUAGUGACUGCUUUGCAUUUUUUUGUUUUGCGGACGACUAAUACGUUGACUAUCGGGUUCAUUUCAAGCUCAGUUAUUAGGGUAUUAGUAGUAUGGUCGUAUGUUGUACUUUUGCCUUUUUCAAAUUAUGCUAAUUGAUGUUUUGAGUAAUGAGUUUUGACUAUGUUGCUUUAUUUGUUAGUGAGGACUAUUGCUAUUGACUAUCGGACUCAAGUGGGUAUACGUGCUAAUAGAGAUGCGCUAGCCCAGUUAACUCUCAAAUCCCUAUCUCCACGCCUUUGAAUGUUGUGUACUACUGUGGCUUGUAAACUUUGUAUAUUUAUCUUGGACCUUAAUUACCUGACUUGAAUUUCCCCGGGUUCAUUAAAGCUGAAUUAAUUAGGUAUUAGUAUACAAUGCCUUAUGUUGUCUUUGUCUGUUUAAAAUUAUGCUGAUUAGUUUUUGUGUAAUAUGUAUGACUGUUUUGCAUUUGUCUGUUUUGCGAGUAUUUUGCUAUUGACACCGAUUCACUUCAAGGCUCGAGUUAUUUAGGUACUUUUUGUUAGUACUUUAUAUUGUUUUUUAUUUAUAGUAUGAUUUUAAUGUUUGAGUAACGAGUAGUGACUGCUUUGCAUUUUUUUUGUUUUGCGAGGACUAAUACUGUUGACUAUCGGGUUUAAUUUCAAGCUCAAGUUAUUAGGGUAUUAGUAGUUAUGGUCGUAUGUUGUACUUUGUCUUUUUCAAAUUAUGCUAAUUUGAAUUUUUGAGUAAUGAGUUGUGACUAUUUUGCAUUUAUUUUGUUUUGUGAGGACUAUUGCUAUUGACUAUCGGACUCAAGUGGGUGUACCGUGCUAAUAGCGAUGCCUAGGCCCAAGUACUCUCAAAUCCAUAUCUCCACGCCUUUGAAUGUUGUGGUACGUAACUGUGGCUUUAAAUUUUGUAUAUUUAUCUUGGGCCUUAAUUAACUUGAACUUGAAGUUCCCCGGGUUCAAUUUCAAGCUCAAGUUAAUUAGGAAUUAUUAGACAAGGCCUUAUGUUGUACUUUGUCUUUUUAAAAUUAUGCUGAUUUGAGUUUUUGUGUAAUAUGUAGUGACUGUUUUGCAUUUGUUCUGUUUUGCGAGGACUAUUGCUAUUGACUACCGGAUUCAACUUCAAGUUCGAGUUAUUUAGGUACUUUUUGUUAGUACUUUAUGUUGUUUUUUAUUUAUAGCAUGAUUUUAAUGUUUGAGUAACGAGUAGUGACUGCUUUGCAUUUUUUUUUGUUUUGCGAGGACUAAUACUGUUGACUAUCGGGUUUAAUUUCAAGCUCAAGUUAUUAGGGUAUUAGUAGUUAUGGCCGUAUGUUGUACUUUGUCUUUUUCAAAUUAUGCUAAUUUGAAUUUUUGAGUAAUGAGUUGUGACUAUUUUGCAUUUAUUUUGUUUAGUGAGGACUAUUGCUA
rnacentral:lncRNA from 1 species